UUUUGACCAGCUUGAAAUUUUGCCCUUCCUUUGUUUUGAUACUGGGUGAGCAAAGUUUCAGGUGUGUCAAAGA
rfam:Dendroctonus ponderosae Seq01002942, whole genome shotgun sequence.